rnacentral:rRNA from 1 species
AGAUACCCUGGUAGUCCAUGCGUUAAACCGAUUGUGCACUUGGAGGGUGCCCCUGAAGGCGUGGCUUCCGGAGCUAACGCGUUAAGUCGACCGCCUGGGGGAGUACGGCCGCAAGGUUAAAACUCAAAUGAAUUGACGGGGGGCCCGCACAAGCGGUGGAGCAUGUGGUUUAAUUCGAUGCAACGCGAAGAACCUUACCUACUCUUGACAUCCAGAGAACUUUCCAGAGAUGGUUUGGUGCCUUCGGGAACUCUGAGACAGGUGCUGCAUGGCUGUCGUCAGCUCGUGUUGUGAAAUGUUGGGUUAAGUCCCGCAACGAGCGCAACCCUUAUCCUUUGUUGCCAGCGGUUAGGCCGGGAACUCAAAGGAGACUGCCAGUGAUAAACUGGAGGAAGGUGGGGAUGACGUCAAGUCAUCAUGGCCCUUACGAGUAGGGCUACACACGUGCUACAAUGGCGCAUACAAAGAGAAGCGACCUCGCGAGAGCAAGCGGACCUCAGGAGGUGCGUCGUAGUCCGGAUUGGAGUCUGCAACUCGACUCCAUGAAGUCGGAAUCGCUAGUAAUCGUGGAUCAGAAUGCCACGGUGAAUACGUUCCCGGGCCUUGUACACACCGCCCGUCACACCAUGGGAUUGGUUUGCAACAGCAGUGUUUCCCUAAGCCGUAACAAGGUAGCACGCAGAGUUGACCCCGCC